GGGGCUUUUCCGAUCUAUUCCAUUGAACACGCAUCGUCUCAACCCUGAGCUGUAAAUGCCACGAUCGGGGCUUUUCUGAUCUAUUCCAUUGAACACACAUCGUCUCGACCCUGAGCUUAGGGCGAAGACGUUCUCUCCAUUGUGCCUUUGAGUUUCACAUGGUAAUCAGAGCCAUACCAACCCAAAAACAGAUUGCAUCUCAGUAGAGCAUCUGUCAUGGCAAGUUCAUCAGCCAAUCCCACCAAUCCCCUCCUCG
rnacentral:lncRNA from 1 species